UUUAAGUGCAACCAUGAUUUUCCGCGCUCAACUUUGAUCGUCUGUCUUAUUUGAAUUUUUUUAUAAUUAGUAUUUUUGUUGUUAUGAGAUGAUAAAACAUGAAUAGUACUUUACACGUGACUUACGUUUUUAAUUUUUUUUCAAAAAAAAUUCAAAUAAUACGGACGAUCAAAGUUAGACGCGGAAAGCCAUGGCUGCACUUAAA
rfam:Oryza barthii chromosome 12, whole genome shotgun sequence.